rnacentral:rRNA from 1 species
UACGGAAGAUCCGAGCGUUAUCCGGAAUUACUGGGCGUAAAGAGUUGCGUAGGUGGCAUGUAAAGCGAGCAGUGAAAGAUCCCCGGCUCAACCGGGGGGUACAUUGUUCGAACUCACAAGCUAGAGCAUGAGAGAGGUACCUGGAAUUCCUAGUGUAGGAGUGAAAUCCGUAGAUAUUAGGAGGAACACCGAUGGCGUAGGCAGGGUACUGGCUCAUUGCUGACACUAAGGCACGAAAGCGUGGGGAGCGAACGGGG